AUAAAGGCAAACCCUGGGUUUUUGUGUCCAAUUUUGACUGUCCGUUUUAUGUGAAAUUUUUUUAUAAUUCAUAUUUUCAUUGUUGUUAAAUGAUAAAACAUGAUUAAUAUUUUAUGCGUGACUUGUCUUUUUAAUUUUUUUUAAAUUUUUUUCAAAUAAGACGGACGGUCAAACGUUGGGUACGGAAACC
rnacentral:pre_miRNA from 1 species